rnacentral:piRNA from 1 species
UGAUGUUCAUGCUUUGUACAUCUUUUAUCAA